ACGAACGCUGGCGGCGUGCUUAACACAUGCAAGUCGAACGGAAAGGCCUUCUUUCCCUUGUGGAUUGCGGGUACUCGAGUGGCGAACGGGUGAGUAACACGUGAGUGAUCUGCCCCCAACUUGGGUAUAAGCCUGGGAAACUGGGUCUAAUUCCCGAUAGGACUGCAGGGUGGUGCCUGUGGUGGAAAACGAUUUUCUAGUGGUUGGGGAUGAGCUCGCGGCCUAUCAGCUUGUUGGUGGGGUAAUGGCCUACCAAGGCGGCGACGGGUAGCCGGCCUGAGAGGGUGGACGGCCACAUUGGGACUGAGAUACGGCCCAGACUCCUACGGGAGGCAGCAGUGGGGAAUAUUGCACAAUGGGCGGAAGCCUGAUGCAGCGACGCCGCGUGGGGGAUGACGGCCUUCGGGUUGUAAACUCCUUUCGACCGCGAGGAAGCCACCUGGUUGGAAGGGUGGUGACGGUAGUGGUAGAAGAAGCACCGGCUAACUACGUG
rnacentral:rRNA from 1 species